GCCAGCAUAGUGUAGUGGUUUGAGCGCUGGAGUUUGACUCUGGAGACCAGGGUUCAAAUCCCCGUUUGGCC